rnacentral:rRNA from 1 species
GACGAACGCUGGCGGCGUGCUUAACACAUGCAAGUCGAACGAUGAAGCCGGAGCUUGCUCUGGUGAAUUAGUGGCGAACGGGUGAGUAACACGUGAGUAACCUGCCCUUGACUCUGGGAUAACUGCGGGAAACUGUAGCUAAUACCGGAUACGACCCUCGGAGGCAUCUCCUGGGGGUGGAAAGAAUUUCGGUCAAGGAUGGACUCGCGGCCUAUCAGCUAGUUGGUGAGGUAAAGGCUCACCAAGGCGACGACGGGUAGCCGGCCUGAGAGGGUGACCGGCCACCCUGGGACGGAGACACGGCCCAGACUCCUACGGGAGGCAGCAGUGGGGAAUAUUGAACAAUGGGCGCAAGCCUGAUGCAGCAACGCCGCGUGAGGGAUGACGGCCUUCGGGUUGUAAACCUCUUUUAGCAGGGAAGAAGCGAAAGUGACGGUACCUGCAGAAAAAGCACCGGCUAACUACGUGCCAGCAGCCGCCGUAA